rnacentral:rRNA from 1 species
UACGGAGGGUGCGAGCGUUGUCCGGAAUCAUUGGGCGUAAAGGGCGCGUAGGUGGCGGGACAAGCGUGCGGUGAAAGCUCGGGGCUCAACCCCGAGUCGGCCGUGCGAACUGUUUUGCUGGAGCACUGUAGAGGCAGGCGGAAUUCCGGGUGUAGCGGUGGAAUGCGUAGAGAUCCGGAAGAACACCGGUGGCGAAGGCGGCCUGCUGGGCAGUUGCUGACACUGAGGCGCGACAGCGUGGGGAGCAAACAGG